rnacentral:snRNA from 1 species
UUUUUGGUCCCAAGGCUCG